rnacentral:lncRNA from 1 species
GCCCUGUCACGCAGGCCUAGAUUUGUGACCCUGCUCAGCCACUUACAAGCUGUGUGACCUUCAGCCAAGUCGCUUAAGCUCUCUGAGACUUGUUUUCCUCCUCUAAGCAUGGGCACAGGAAGCAUACUCACCCUGCUCACCUUGCAGGGCUGUAGUGAGGAUCAGACAGGAUGGAGACGAAGGAGCUUUGGGAAUGAAAAGACCCUGGACAGAGGUGGUAUUGAGAGUGUGGGAGCAGCUUGCAGCCCUCAGGGGGAUGGAGCCCCUCCUCCAGGGAUGUUUAGCGUCAUAACCUGGUGUGCUUUGCUGCCGUGGCCCACCCUCUGGAUUUCCUGCCUCGAACUCACAUGUGGUGUGUGUGAUGUAGGUUUCUGUUUCCUUGUCUGUGAAAUAAGAGGUUGGACCAGAUGAGUUCUUAGUUCUACGAUUCCACGAAUGUCUUAGAAAGCAAAAUGCACAGAGCCAAAUUUCCUUUGCCAUGCCGAACGCCAGGGCAGCGGAGCCAGCAGUGUCGAUGCUGUAAAGCCCCAAGGAGAGUUCUAGACGGAAGGGCGCUGCUGUGUCCUGGUAAUGAUGUCAGGUGACUCAGACAGGUCUGGGACUGGAGAAGCUGGCUGUCUUGUCUGAACCUCCUUUGAAGUGGUGGUUUGCAACACUUUUACGAACUGGAGGUUGAACGAGAACAUGAAAGUCAUCUCAUUGAUGGGGAAAAUCUGAAGCACACGCUGGUUGAGAAAUUUGCCCAAGGCCUCACAGCCGGUUCCAGCACUGAUGGUUGCCACGGACAUUAUUUCCUUCAGUUUACGACAGCCCUGAGAAGUCACUGGUCACGGAUAGCGUUGGUUCAUGAGAGCUGAUUGCUAAAUUUCCAGGAAUUUUGAGUCAGUUGUUAAACAUAGCCAUUAUUCAAUAGAUGGAGAUGGAAUCCUGGCUUUGCCACUUACCAGCUAGGUGACCUCGCCACGUGGCAAAAGCUACAAAGGAGUGAGGAGGGUUUGGAAACAGGCCCCUCUAGAGUCAAGUCUCGGCUUCGGUCUGACUAUCUGCGUCAGUUUUCUCGUCUGUAAAUGGGGAGCAGCUGCUGUUGAUAGCAGUAUCUGUUGUAUCUCUCACACGCUUUUGAAGGUUUGCUGAAUACUCACUAUGUGCCGAGCAUUGUUCUAAGCUCCUUGCUGAUAUUUUCUUAUUAAUGUUCCAGCCACUCAAUG